GUAUAUAUAGCUCAAGUGGAAGAGCACAGGCUUAAGAAGCAUGAGAUCCUGGGUUCAAUCCUCGGUACCUCCU
rnacentral:tRNA from 1 species